AUGAACGCUGGCGGCGUGCCUAAUACAUGCAAGUCGAGCGAACGGACGAGAAGCUUGCUUCUGUGAUGUUAGCGGCGGACGGGUGAGUAACACGUGGAUAACCUACCUAUAAGACUGGGAUAACUUCGGGAAACCGGAGCUAAUACCGGAUAAUAUUUUGAACCGCAUGGUUCAAAAGUGAAAGACGGUCUUGCUGUCACUUAUAGAUGGAUCCGCGCUGCAUUAGCUAGUUGGUAAGGUAACGGCUUACCAAGGCAACGAUGCAUAGCCGACCUGAGAGGGUGAUCGGCCACACUGGAACUGAGACACGGUCCAGACUCCUACGGGAGGCAGCAGUAGGGAAUCUUCCGCAAUGGGCGAAAGCCUGACGGAGCAACGCCGCGUGAGUGAUGAAGGUCUUCGGAUCGUAAAACUCUGUUAUUAGGGAAGAACAUAUGUGUAAGUAACUGUGCACAUCUUGACGGUACCUAAUCAGAAAGCCACGGCUAACUACGUG
rnacentral:rRNA from 1 species